UACAAUGGCAGGUACAGAGGGGUGCUACCGGGUGACCGGAUGCCGAUCUCGAAAACCUGUCCCAGUUCGGACUGGAGUCUGCAACCCGACUCCACGAAGUUGGAUUCGCUAGUAAUCGCGCAUCAGCCAUGGCGCGGUGAAUACGUUCCCGGGCCUUGUACACACCGCCCGUCAAGCCAUGGGAGCCGGGGGCGCCUGAAGUCCGGGACCGCGAGGACCGGCCUAGGGCGAAACUGGUGACUGGGGCUAAGUCGUAACAAGGUAUC
rnacentral:rRNA from 1 species